rnacentral:rRNA from 1 species
UACGAAGGGGGCUAGCGUUGCUCGGAAUCACUGGGCGUAAAGCGCACGUAGGCGGCUUUUUAAGUCAGGGGUGAAAUCCUGGAGCUCAACUCCAGAACUGCCUUUGAUACUGGAGAGCUAGAGUCCGGAAGAGGUGAGUGGAACUGCGAGUGUAGAGGUGAAAUUCGUAGAUAUUCGCAAGAACACCAGUGGCGAAGGCGGCUCACUGGCCCGGUACUGACGCUGAGGUGCGAAAGCGUGGGGAGCAAACAGG